rnacentral:rRNA from 1 species
CGCUGGCGGCGUGCCUAAUACAUGCAAGUCGAGCGGACCGACGGGAGCUUGCUCCCUUAGGUCAGCGGCGGACGGGUGAGUAACACGUGGGUAACCUGCCUGUAAGACUGGGAUAACUCCGGGAAACCGGGGCUAAUACCGGAUGCUUGAUUGAACCGCAUGGUUCAAUCAUAAAAGGUGGCUUUCAGCUACCACUUACAGAUGGACCCGCGGCGCAUUAGCUAGUUGGUGAGGUAACGGCUCACCAAGGCGACGAUGCGUAGCCGACCUGAGAGGGUGAUCGGCCACACUGGGACCGAGACACGGCCCAGACUCCUACGGGAGGCAGCAGUAGGGAAUCUUCCGCAAUGGACGAAAGUCUGACGGAGCAACGCCGCGUGAGUGAUGAAGGUUUUCGGAUCGUAAAACUCUGUUGUUAGGGAAGAACAAGUACCGUUCGAAUAGGGCGGCACCUUGACGGUACCUAACCAGAAAGCCACGGCUAACUACGUGCCAGCAGCCGCGGUAAUACGUAGGUGGCAAGCGUUGUCCGGAAUUAUUGGGCGUAAAGCGCGCGCAGGCGGUUUCUUAAGUCUGAUGUGAAAGCCCCCGGCUCAACCGGGGAGGGUCAUUGGAAACUGGGGAACUUGAGUGCAGAAGAGGAGAGUGGAAUUCCACGUGUAGCGGUGAAAUGCGUAGAGAUGUGGAGGAACACCAGUGGCGAAGGCGACUCUCUGGUCUGUAACUGACGCUGAGGCGCGAAAGCGUGGGGAGCGAACAGG